CUACGGGCGGCUGCAGUGAGGAAUAUUGCCCAAUGGGGGGAACCCUGAUGCAGCAACGCCGCGUGGAGGAUGACGCAUUUCGGUGUGUAAACUCCUUUUAUAUGUCAAGAAAAUGACGGUAGCAUAUGAAUAAGCACCGGCUAACUCCGUGCCAGCAGCCGCGGUAAUACGGAGGGUGCAAGCGUUACUCGGAAUCACUGGGCGGAAAGGACGCGUAGGCGGGUUGGAAAGUCAGGUGUGAAAUCCUACAGCUUAACUGUAGAACUGCACUUGAAACUUCUAAUCUAGAGUAUGGGAGGGGGAGAUGGAAUUCGUGGUGUAGGGGUAAAAUCCGUAGAUAUCACUAGGAAUACCUAAAGCGAAGGCGAUCUCCUGGAACAUUACUGACGCUAAGGCGUGAAAGCGUGGGGAGCAAACAGGAUUAGAUACCCGCGUAGUC
rnacentral:rRNA from 1 species